GCCUUAGUGACCGCAGAGAGGCACUUAUGGCUGACCCUGUCAGAAAUAAAAGAAAGAGACAGGGUCUGCCUCCUGGAUGCCCCGCUUCAGCCUUCUGGCCUGUUUGGCGACACAGUCAAUACUGUCGUCGACAGGUUCCAGGAGGCACGCAAACAGGCGGUGGCAUUCCAGAGCUUCCUCUCUCGUCGCUCUCGUGGGGCAUCUGGGCGGGAGAUGCCCACGCCACAUACCAGCUCCUCAUAUCGCGAGGCACAGAAGCAGAGUGUCGCCUCUCGUGCUCCUCCACGUCGGGACUUCCAAGCCCAAAUCAGACCUUUGGGCAAUCAUCGAGGCCAGGAAGUCCUCGACAAAUAGAUACUGACGCCAGGGGCUCAGGAGAACAGAGGGCGACCCCUACUGGGGUAGAUCGGGGUCCACCUCAUUAUACGGUGCCCGUCUCACCUCAGUGCCCUCGAGAGGUCGGUCUGCCAACCCUGCCAAAGUUUCAGGGCGCAGCAGCUUCCGGUGAGCGAUGCUCUCAGUUAUUUCCACCCACGAGCGUAGCGGAGCUGAGAGGCUCGCCGCCCCUUCGGGGGCCUCUUACACCAGAGGUCAGUCUCGAGAGACUGAUUCCCUUAGUAUAUUAUUUAGCAGCAUGGAAGCUACUGCCAAAUGUAUCUCAAUGGGUCCUGCGCAUGAUAGAAAAAGGCUACUGCAUUCAGUUCGGCUCUCCACUGCCGAGAUUCAACAGUGGAAGAAAUGUGGAAGAAACCUUGGUUCUUGAAUCAGGGCCCGGUGCUGGGAGCUCUUUGUCGCCGUGUAACGCGAGCGACAGACGCGUCCCUCACCGGUUGGGGUGCGGUCAUGAGUGGCCAUCCUGCCCACGGUCUGUGGAGUGGUCGCCAUCUGACAUGGCAUAUCAAUUGUCUAGAGAUGCUAGCUGUGUAUCGAGCAUUGAAAUAUUUCCUCCCAGACCUGAGAGGUCACCAUGUGUUGGUGUGCACCGACAACACAUCGGUGGUCUCUUAUAUCAAUCACCAGGGAGGUCUGCGUUUGCGCCCCUUGUACAAGCUGGCACACCAGAUCCUUCUGUGGUCCCAGGACAAACUCCUCUUGCUCAGAGCAGUGUAUAUUCCUGGGAGAUUGAAUGUGGGAGUAGACAUACUGUCGAGACAGGGGCCAAGGCCCGGGGAAUGGAGGCUUCACCCAGAGGUGGUGAAGCAGAUAUGGAGAGUGUUUGGCAAAGCCCAGGUGGACCUCUUUGCGACUCAAGAGACAUCGCAAUGUCCCCUCUGGUUCUCUCUAGUUCAUCCAGCUCCUCUGGGUCUGGACGUUAUGGUACAGACCUGGCCGAGGCUUCGUC
ensembl:lncRNA